GCCUCGGUGGUGUAGUGCCAGCACAUGUAGUGCUGGUAUGUAUGGACGCGGGUUCAACUCCCUCCUGAAGUA